rnacentral:lncRNA from 13 species
CCAGGCCUGCUCCUUUCGCCUGCACAUUAUUUUCCGCUAAUCAGCAUCACUCUGCCCCGAGGGAUGCCAGCCCAGAGCCCCACCAGCUGCGCAGAGGAGCCACUCCCCUGUUCCCAGCACGCUUGGCUGGGUUUGGGAAGACUGGGCAUUAGUGGAGCUGACAGCCCCAUCUGUUUCCUCCUGAGGCGCAGAAGUACUCUGAGCAGGCCUGCUACCUAUGAACACUCGGGCCCAGGCUGAGCUGGGGAAAACCCCCUCCCCAGCCGGAGCCCCCCACCCACCCUCUCGAUGGUCCUGCCAAGGUGCCGGAGAUCAACCGAGAGUCAGGCCCUGCCACCCAGGCACCAGCCUGGGGGACCGGACACUCUAUCGGGAUGGGCACUCAGGCCCUUGAAGGCAGCAGUAACGGCAGCCACAGCAGAACAAUGGCCUCGAUGGUGACCCGGCAGGAGACGCUGUCACAGACUCCUUCCACUUCAACCACCAACAGUCAGAUGUGCGUUCGCCUGUCCUUACCCAUCAAGAUCGUCAAAACCGUGAAACUCCUGCACCCAAGUGUCUGUGCAUCAGGACAGGUCCUCUCCCUACUGCUGCGGGAGGACCCAGCGAGGCGGACGGCUGGCAGAGCAGACAGGGGCCCUGGGCGAGCGCUUCAACCCCACCAAGCCUGGUCCUUGGAAGGACAGGUGUGAGUGCAAGGACAACAUGG